GUAUGGUCAUACCACUGUCAAAAAGCCCAAAUUUGUUUGCACUCACAAGGGAAGGAGAGUCAGGUCUAUUUAGUAUUUACUUGAAGGGGAUACCACCUGGGAAUCCUGGAGGCUAUAAGCU
rnacentral:rRNA from 1 species